rnacentral:lncRNA from 1 species
GGAUGGCUUGGUGAUGGGGGCUAGUUUUAUGGCUUCCCCAUUGGAGGGUGUCCUGGAUAGUGACCAUAAGGUGGCUCAUACACCGGUGGUUUCUUAGGAGGUUCAUAUACUGGUGGCUUCUUCGGAGGUUCGUAAACCGGUGGUUUGGGCUCUGGCUUCUCUUUCUUCGGAGGUUCAUAAACUGGUGGUUUUGGUGGCUUAGGUUCAUAUACUGGUGGUUUUGGUGGCUUAGGUUCAUACACUGGAGGCUUCUUUGGAGGCUCAUAUACUGGUGGUUUGGGUUCUGGCUUCUCUUUCUUUGGAGGUUCAUAAACUGGUGGCUUUGGUGGCUUAGGCUCAUAAACUGGUGGCUUUGGUGGCUUAGGUUCAUAUACUGGUGGUUUCUUUGGAGGCUCAUACACCGGAGGCUUCUUUGGAGGCUCAUAAACUGGUGGCUUUGGUGGCUUAGGUUCAUAAACUGGUGGCUUAGGUUCAUAUACUGGUGGCUUUGGUGGCUUAGGCUCAUAAACUGGUGGCUUUGGUGGCUUAGGUUCAUAAACUGGCGGUUUCUUUGGAGGCUCAUACACCGGAGGCUUCUUUGGAGGCUCAUAUACUGGUGGUUUGGGUUCUGGCUUUGGAGGCUUAGGUUCAUAUACUGGUGGUUUCUUUGGAGGCUCAUAAACUGGUGGCUUUGGUGGCUUAGGCUCAUAAACUGGUGGCUUUGGAGGCUUAGGUUCAUAAACUGGCGGUUUCUUUGGAGGCUCAUACACCGGUGGUUUCUUGGGAGGUUCAUAAACUGGUGGUUUGGGUUCUGGCUUUUCCUUCUUUGGAGGUUCGUAAACCGGUGGCUUGGGCUCCGGCUUCUCCUUCUUUGGGGGUUCAUAGACAGGGGGUUGGGGUUCUGGCUUCUUUGGAGGUUCGUAAACUGGUGGUGGUUUGUAAAUUGGGGGUGGCUUCACCUCGGGAGGUUUGUAAACAGGAGUAGGUGGUUUCCCAUAGCCGGGUAACUCGUAGGUACCAAGGGAGGGAGUGGCGAGAACCACCACUCCCAGGAGCAGUACUAGUAAGUGUGUAAGAGACAUCUUGGAGCUCUGGCUUUCGAUAGGGCAACUCGAAGCCCUCCUUUUAUAGUGGUAAAGGAGCCUUUUGGUUAGUCCAGGUGUCAAAAUUUCUCUCGUUUCAUACCUUACGAAAUAGUGAGCUAGCUAGAUUUGUAAAUAUUUGAGUAAUUCAUAAAUGUGAUAGGGUCCAUUUGGGUCCCACUUAGUCGAAAUUUUGGACUAUGAAUUACAAGGCCUUAUUCAUGAUUGAAGAAGAUUGGCAGUGUGGCUAUUAAAGAAGAUUGGCAGUGUGGUUCUUUUGGCGGUGACUAUUCCUUCUCUUUCCAUAAAGUAAUAGUUAGCGUCACUCUUUUCAUCUUUUUCAUUUAUGAAACAUGCUUUUUCUUUUCCUGCUAAAAGAAGCAAUAGAAUGGCACGAAAUUCUCCUUUAUAUCUGCUCAGCAACUCUUUCCUAACAAAUAUAAGAAGCUCAAGGCGUGAAAAUAUCUCAAGAGACUGAAAGUGAAGAGCGUUUCUAUAAACAAUGCCUCAGGAUAAAGUUGCAAAAAAAUUGCAGGACUGCACAUCUUCUAGUAUCACAAUAGGUGUUCAUCAAGGAAAACUUUUUACUCCAAUUGGUAUGAUAUUUACUGUUUUCAUGUCCUGUAAAGUCUUGGUUGCUACAAUAAAUAUAGUAGAAGUGUUUGAUGACAGCAAAUUUCCUUCUGGACUGCAAACAUUGUUACUAAUUUCAAAUGUAAUGCCACAGCUAUAAAAAAUAAAAAUAAAAUAAAAAAAGCGAAGCCCAGAUGAGAAGGUUGGUACCUUCCGCUUGCAUGUUCUAAGUUUUGCUUGAGGGAGAUUAUUUUGGCUAAAAUCUAACAACAUUGUUGCCAAAAGGCAACUUCAUUAUUGGUGGAAGCCUUUGCAGUCCUGUUGGGAAAUUUACACGAAUGCAGCACUCACCUCUUUGCUUGUUUCCAUAGUUAACAACAAGUGAGCUUAUUUGUCGGUAUUGACUUUUAUGAUGCAUACCCUUUUUCUCUUUCUAUAUUUUGUUUUCAGUUACCUAAUUCCUUAUAGUUGGCACUAGGUUUUUUUUAAAUUCAACGAGUUUUUGCAUCUAAUGGUCUUUUAUUGACUUUUAGAAGCAAUAUUUUAACCUUCCUGUUGAUUGUACCUUAGUUGAACUAAGUUCCAGAAAGACAGCUUUCUUUCACUAUCAGUGUAUGGAUAGCUUAGCAAUUUAGUCUUAUGGAUUCAUUAUUACCCUUGCACUAAAGCCGCAGGCAAAUUACUGAAAGACUAAUCAUAGAUCUUUUUCUGCUAAUUAAGGUAUUUGAGUGGUUCUAUUAUGGAGAGAAAUUAAUUUACUCUGUAAGUGAGGCUAUAUUGAAGAGAAUCUGAACUGUUUACAACUACUUUGUUCUCCAUAAGAAUUUUGGCUGCAACGUUUGACAAUUAUUGUUGUUAUUGCCUUUAUUCUCAUGACAGAGCGCUUUAGGCAGGACAAUCUGGUUCAUGAACACUGCUCAUAAUUAGAUUUUAAUUCCCAAUCCUAAAUUGCAUGUUAAUAGCAUUAUGAAGUAUGUCAUAAAUUUUGCACAAUACUUUAAACUCGGAAAGAGAGUAUUUGGACUUGGGAUCUCUUCCUGGAAGUACGGCCUGGUCACCAUGAAGCUUCCAGAAAUUUGUUUUCUACACGCAACACUGGAUUUGGUAUAACUAAUUGUGAGGAAAUAUGAGCUCUUAAAGCAGAUGAACAGUUCUGUGAAUCGGCUUAAUUAAUUUUCAUGAAUUCGGGCAGCCUAAGGCUUAUUCCAAACAAUUUAGAUGAAGAGUUCGACCAGAGUAAAGAAAUAUUUCAUUAUGUACCAUCUUGUCCUGUAAUUAGGUGAUUAUCAUAUGAAUUAUAAAUUUAUAAUCACUUUCCUGAGUCGAAAUUCAGCAGAUUUCUUUUGUAGUUUCCCCCCACUCAUCUACAGGUUAUUUUAUCAAAAAACCUGCUGGUUUUUUUUUAAAUUAAAAAAACCUGCAGGUUCUGUGCUGCUAUGUGCUGGCAGAAGAAAAAGCUUAAUGGCGAUAGAACAACAGUCAGUGAGAAAGACUGGCAUUUUGCAAAACCGACAUGCUGCAUAAUAGGCCUAGCUUACCUACCGUCCUUUUGAUAAAAUUGUACUCGUUAUAAAAUUAGAUGAACUUUCAAUUCGUAGCUUAUCCAAUUAGUACGUAACACAAUGUUUGAAAUACAUGAUUGAUCAUGAAUGCCAAUAUUAUUGCUUUUUGAUUUUUGCAACUCUGGCAAUGGAUCUUUCCACCAACCAAUCUCCAUGCACGAAAACGCAACAAAAAUCUUGAACUUAGUGGUUCAGUUGAAGUCAAAAAGCCAAAAGAAAGGGAUGAGAGGGGGGAUUGAAACAAAGAAAGCGAAAAGAGAAACAGACCAUGACUGGAGAGGAAAUAUGAAUAUAGGUGGGAAUAAAUAAGUAUUCAUGGAAAUCAACUGCAUGCAGUAACAAAGUGGCUUGUGAGGCUCUUCAGCUUUCUCCAUUAUUGGAGGGUGUCCAGGGUAGUUUCCAUAGGGUGGAGAUGGUUUGGGCGAGGGUAGAGUUCUUGGCUUAUGCUCAGGAGCCGGGGUAUGAGGUUUGGGCAUUGUGGCUGGCUUUUCAACGGCUUGUCCACCUGUGGUGCUGGUCCUUUUUUUGGAGGUAGAGUUGGUGCAAUGGGUGGUUUUGGUCCUAACUCUAGGAGGUAGAUCGAGUUAGUGGAUUGUGCUCAGGAUUUAGCUUUUCUGCUUUAGGAGGCUUUCGAACUCGGGUUCCUGCCUCGUGCUUGGCACUGGCUUCUUAGUUGGGGGAUCCAGGUGGCCUGGAAUGGGUGGUUUGCGCUCAUAUUGAGGUGGCUUUGCGUAAUCAGCUAAACAGGGUGCGCUAAGACUAAAAACCACUGAACCGAUAAACAACAUAAACAAGUAUACAUAGGAGACAUCUUUGUGCUUUGAUGGUAUAAAGAUAAUGGUUCAGAACUUGAAGGAACAUACCAUUUUGUAAUGCUUACCAGCCCUGGAAAGUUGUAUACAUGUUCAAAUUUCGUUCAGUUCGUGUCAUGCACAGAUUACAAAAUAAGUUAAACUAUAUAAUUUGCAGAGCUUAAUUAAGGCGAUAAAAUGGUUCAUUUGUUUCCCAUAGAGAUGAACAUUUAGACAGUUGGGAAAAUCCUGUUCCUAAGAAGGAUGAGGGAGGAAAAGUUCCAACCUCCAGGUUAAAAUCCAUUUUAGUUUCUCUCUCACGAUCUAC